rnacentral:hammerhead_ribozyme from 1 species
AUCCAGUUGUUGAGUCCCAAAUAGGAUGAAACGCACGUCAAACUGAAU